CACACACUGAAGCAGAUGCAACAUUUUGAGCUCAACAAUGGCUGACAAAGUUCUGAUCACAUCUGUGGAUGUUGGUAACAGGGCACGACAAAAGGAAGGGACACAGUGCCAGUGUUCUGGGCCCUGGAGGGCAUUUACUAGCAAAAAGCUGAAGAUACUAAAUUGAACUGAUGAAUAAAACAUGGGCAGGGACCAGCAUCGCACUCUUCAGUCUUCCACUCUCUGCUGCCCUGAAGCUGCUUACUUAAGGGCCCUUUUAGCUCCCACUGCAGAGGCCGGACAGGGGGCAGGUGUGCUUCACUGUUGUCUGUGUCUGAGGACUUUUUUGAUUCUACAAAAGUACAAAUAUUUGGGUAUGGCAGUUGCACAAGCACUGUCAAUGCGACGUAGGGGACCAGUGUUCGAUCCACGGACAUGAACACAGACAAAACAUAUUUGACAUUAGGAUUUGGCUAUUCAACUGGAAUUUUGAAAUAAACCAUGGAGUGAUUCGAGCCAUUGUUUUCAUUGUAGGUACUGUACAGUAUAGCUGGACUAAAACCUGUCUGAAUGACUACUGCCCUACAGCACUGACCUCCAUCAUCAUGAACUGCUUUGAGCGGCUGGUCACAUCUGCUCCACCCUUCCUGACACCUUGGACCCCUUUCAAUUUGUAUAUUGCCUCAAUAGAUCUACGGACGAUGCCAUUGCCCUGACGACACACAACGCCCUCUCCCAUCUGGAAAAAGGCAGCACAUACGUGAGGAUGUUGUUUGUGGAAUACAGCUCUACAUUCAACACUACUGUGCCCACCAAGCCUGUUCCUAAACUCAGGACCCUGGGACUUAACACCUCCCUUUGCAAUUGGAUCCAGACCCCAGGUGGUGAGAAUGGGCAACCUCCCCUCCUCUGCACUGACCCUGAGCACCGGAGCCCCACAGGGCUGCGUACACAGUCCCUUCCUGUAUUCCCUGUUCACAAAGGACUGUGUGGCCACACAAAGCUCUAACACUAUCCUUAAAUUCACGGACGACACAUCCAUCCUGGGUCUCAUCGCCUGAGACCCAGGAUGGAUGUGCGUCAUCGCCUGCCAUCUCCCCUCCGUGCAAUUCAUGUACCAUACACAAUGCUUUAGGAAAGCACAGAGCACUUUCAAAGACUACAGCCACUCAGGCUAUGGUCUGUUCAUACUGCUGCCGUCUGGAAGACGCUACCGGAGUAUCGGAGCACGCAUGUCCAGAAUCACAGUUUUUUCCCUCAGGCCAUAAGGCUCCUCAAACAGCAACACUGAUCUAUGAUCAUACUGAUCACACAUGAACAUUCCAAAUGCUCUGAAGUCUUCCAUGUACAGUGGUGCUCAAAGGUUUGCAUACCCUUGGAGAAUUGGUAAUAUAUUUAACAUUUGUAAAGAAAACAUGUAAGCAGGCACAACACAUAUUUUAUUUCUUAUUGGAUUCACAUUCAACUGUAGGUCAUAACAGAAUGGCACAAUCAUAAAACAAAACAUGGCAACAAAGAAAAAAAUUAAGUGACCCCUGUUCAAAAGUCUGCAUACCCUUAGUUCUUAAUACUGCGUAUUGCCCACUUCUGCAUCAAUGACAGUGUGCAGUCUUUUUUAAUAGUUGGCUAUGAGGCCCCAAAUUCUUGCAGGUGGUAUAGCUGCCCAUUCGUCUUGGCAAAAUGCCUCCAGGUCAUACAAAGUCUUUGGUUGUCCUGCAAUAAUCGCACGUUUGAGAUCUCCCCAGAGUGGCUCUAUGAUUUUAAGGUCAGGAGACUGUGAUGGCCACUCUAGAACCUUAACCUGUUUCUGCUGUAACCACUGGAGGGUCAACUUGGCCUUGUACUUAGGGUCAUUGUUGUGCUGGAAAGUUCAAGAGAGUCCCAUGCGCAGCUUUCAUGCAGAAGAAUGCAAAUUGUCUGCCAGUAUUUUCUGAUAACAUGCUGCAUUCAUCAUGCCAUCAAUUUUCACAAGAUUCCCUGCUCCUUUAAACCUCACACACCCCCAAAACAUCAGUGAGCCACCACUAUGCUUCACAGUGGGGAUGGUAUUCUGUUCACUAUAGGCC
ensembl:lncRNA